GUCGAGAAUAAUUCACAAUGGACGAAAGUCUGAUGGUGCAACGCCGCGUGGAGGAUGACGGUCUUCGGAUUGUAAACUCCUGUCAUCCGGGAGUAAGACCUGGCUGUGAAUAGCAGACAGGGUUGAUAGUACCGGAAGAGGAAGGGACGGCUAACUUCGUGCCAGCAGCCGCGGUAAUACGAAGGUCCCGAGCGUUGUUCGGAAUCACUGGGCGUAAAGGGAGCGUAGGCGGCGUGGUAAGUCAGAUGUGAAAUCCCGGGGCUCAACCCCGGAACUGCAGCCGAUACUGCCGUGCUAGAGGAUUGGAGAGGUAGCUGGAAUUCUUGGUGUAGCAGUGAAAUGCGUGGAGAUCAAGAGGAACACUCGUGGCGAAAGCGAGCUACUGGACAAUAUCUGACGCUGAGGCUCGAAGGCCAGGGUAGCGAAAGGGAUUAGAUACCCUGGUAGUCC
rnacentral:rRNA from 1 species